rnacentral:misc_RNA from 1 species
AACCUAGCACACCUGCGGUGUGUACCUGCGGAAGGAUCAUUAUAGAAUUGGUAGCUCUGCUACCUUAACUAUACUAUACUGUUCACAUUCCUGUUUCUUCCCCAUCACAUGGGCCCUCCGGUCUUGACUGGUUGUGCUCGAUGGGGAAAUUAUUUAAACAUAUUUUUGUAUUUAUUCUGUAUCAUUAUAAUAUUUAAUAUUAUAAAACUUUCAACAACGGAUCUCAGAUCGGAAGAGCAC